UCGAUCCCAGGCCGAGUUUUCGCUUUUAUAAUGGUUAGGCGAACAACUGGGCCUGGUACUAGUUGUCUGCGCAUGCGUCAGUCGUUCGUCAGAUUCUGACGAAUGGAUAUUCUCGUUCACUUUUGUGACAUUUAUAUUCGUGUACUAUCGUGUACUAGAAGUCAGUUCCCGUUUUAUCAUUAUUGGAAUCGAUUGGAAUGGCUCUUAGCUGAAGCUUCUCUCUUCUCUGAAGCUUAUUCUGAAGACUGAACAACAAGGGAAGAGGUAUAAAGCUUUGUCAAGCUUGUUAAGGUCAGAUAUUUUUGUGUGGGCCCUAUGGCCGGCUAUGCUAUCAAGUCUUGUUCAUGUUUGGCAAGAAUGUAGGUAGACUAUAGUUUCAUCAUUAAUAUGGUGGAUCAAGUGAAGAGUGUGAGCUAGAGAACUUGGUGCUGCCAUCAUCAGCUCGUCGACAAUGACACUAUAACCGAGAAAUUUAAUAUGUAUAGAUCUACACGUAUUUAAAAUGUCUACUUCUCUGUACAGGAGCAAUGGCUAAUAUCCAGCUAUCCCAACAGUGCUCCUCUUGGCUAUACUAACGGACGAGACUGGACAGUUUGAGACACAGGACUGGAGUAUGACCUGCUCAUUCGAGCGUUGCUGGGUAGCUCAGAGACAUCAAGAGAAUCUACGUUUUCUCAAGCAAUGAGUUACGAGUUGGGGC